rnacentral:rRNA from 1 species
AUGGCGCCAACUCAUCCUUACUUCAUCUCCUCUAUUCCCCUCUCCGAUGACGAUGAGGUGGAGGUGAUUAACAUCAUUGACUCCGACGGCGGCGACACCGUCGUCUACCUUUCAUCGGAUGAGGAGGACAAUAACAGUUCCUGCGGCGAUGAUGGCGCCUCCUUCCCCAACGGUGCUUCCAACACCAAGCCCGCGUGCACGGCCACAUCCUUUGUGGCCGGUAGCUCCAACAAUGGCAGCGACUCCAGCGGCCCUUCCAACGUUAAGGCUGCGUCCAACAUCGCGGCCACGUCUUUUGUGGCAGCUAGCUCCAACUACAGUGGUGACUCUGACUCCGGCUCCAACUCCGACGACACCACACCGACUCAGCACUACAACUACUGGCACAGAGAUGACAACAUCCAUCUUGUGGAAACCGAUGGAAGGCUCGCCCCCGCACACGUACCUCCAUUUGCGCUCUUGAUUGAGUUUCUCAAAGGUAGGGUGCCAUUCCGUCAUGGCGAGCUGACAUCACGUAUCAUCGGCGAUCAUAGGAGGUAUCUCCAGAACAAAUUCCGUGGCAUGUGCAAGGACAGCUGCAACAACCGCAGUUACCGCAAACCGAGGAGACGGCAGGAGAAUGAGUUCUUCGAAUGCUGCAAGAGGGAAUGGCCCCACAUCAUGGAAGAGGCCCGCGCGUAG